AGCCAGUUGAGGAGAAUUUUAUUCAAAAACCAAGUUGCGUGCCAUUCAUUUCCUCUGCUCAUCCCCUCUCUCUCUUCCGUUCGGGAGAAUCUGAUCCAAUCCCCCACCAUCGCUGCACACAUCUACACUGGGGAGAGCAUUUUUGGGGGCUUGAAGUAUAAAUCCAGCUCAUGUCACGAGGGCAUUUGGAAUCGAAGACGAAAGGAUGCACAGAUCAGAUCAGCAAGCACAUCCAGAAUCCAAGGACGACCAGUGUGGUGCAGCGCAAAUAAACAUCAGCUCGCGGCUCUCCUUCGAUCCAGUGUGAUGGAAGCUUUGUUUUGGUCAGAAUUAGCCGACCGGGUAGUGCUUGACACCGAUGUCGAUGGGGAUCACCGGAAUUGUGAGCCAAAGAUGGCUGGAGUCCCACAAUUUUUAUCCCUUCCCCACUGAAUUUCUCCCUGUAUUAGUGAGUUGAAUGGUAGUAUUAGUGAAGUAUAAAUAAUGUAACGUGAGCUGAUUAGAAAUGGGUGGGUGUAAUUCUAGUAGAAAGUUGCUUGUGAUACUGGCUUUUUGAUGUAAUGACUGGAAUCACUUCCAAAUAUGGAAAGCAUAUUUAUUAUCCUA